rnacentral:rRNA from 1 species
AAAGCUUUUGCGGUUUGGGAUGGGCCUGCGUCCUAUCAGGUAGUUGGUGAGGUAAGUGCUCACCAAGCCUAUGACGGGUAGCUGGUCUGAGAGGAUGGUCAGCCAGACUGGGACUGCGACACGGCCCAGACUCCUACGGGAGGCAGCAACUAGGAAUUGUGCGCAAUGGACGAAAGUCUGACGCCGCGACAUCGCGUGGAGGAUGAAGGUCUUCGGAUUGUAAACUCCUUUUCUUACCGAACAAGUUCUGAGUGUAGGUAAGGAAUAAGUGCCUGCUAACCACGUGCCAGAAGCAUCGGUAAUACGUGGGGCACGAGCGUUAUCCGGAUUUACUGGGCGUAAAGAGAAGCGUAGGCGGCUCGAUAAGUUUGGUGUUAAAUCUUCCGGCUCAACCGGAAACAAGUACCGAAAACUAUCGAGAUUGAGUCGAGUAGGGAAGAGGGGAAUUCCUGGUGGAGCGGUUAAAUGCGUAGAUAUCAGGAGGAAUACCAAGGGCGAAGGCACCUCUUUGGACUCGUACUGACGCUGAGGCUCGAAAGCGUGGGUAGCAAAACGGAUUAGAUACCCGUGUAGUCCACGCCGUAAACGAUCCCUGUUAGAUGUAUG